GAAUUACAGGGUUCCACAACCCUUUUGCCAUUCAAGCUCUCUUCUCUCUUUCUCUGUGUCGUCUUUAUCUCUCUUCUCCUUAAUCUCUGUUCUUCUCUCUCCACUCUUAAAUCUUAAUCUUCUAAUUCUUCUCCAAUUCAUUUACCCAUUGCCUCAAUUAUGGAGAAGUUCCGUUGCAGCAAUAAAGAAGCUAAAUUGGCGAUUGAUGUUCUCCGGAACCAAAAAUCUUUUGUCUGCCGUCUCUAUAAGUUGUUCUGUGUUCAUUAGUUCAUGAUCAUUCGAAGUUUUUUCUCGUCUCUCAAUUUCACACUCUCAAUUUCACAUCUCCUCUCUCAGUCUCUCACAAUCCAGUUUUUAAAAAUUGGAGUCACUUGACAUAAGGUUCCUCUGAAUUUGAUCACUCUGAAUUCUUCUUUUUGGGUUUUGCCAUUGAUAAAGUUUGCUUCGAAUCUCUUUUUUUUUAUAUAUAUAUAUUUUAUUUUUUUUCUAAAAUCAUGCAUUUGAGAUAUAUGAAAUUGGUAUAUGAAAUUUAUAUAUGAAAUUGUGCUUAUGAAAUUGUUCUUAUGUUUUUGCAGAGAAGAUUGGAAUUUGGAAAUGUGCGUCCAAUCUUGGGUAGUUGGGUUUGAUGGAAAGAAUUGAAGUCAGCGGUGCAGCCGGUGCUUCACUAUCCAGGUUCUAUUGUUCUAUUACUUUAUUUUAAUUUUUAGUUUAAAGCAAUGUGUCCUAAGAAACAAGCAUCUGGUAGCUAAANN
rnacentral:lncRNA from 1 species